rnacentral:rRNA from 1 species
GAUGAACGCUGGCGGCGUGCCUAACACAUGCAAGUCGAGCGAUUCUCUUCGGAGAAGAGCGGCGGACGGGUGCGUAACGCGUGGGUAACCUGCCCUGUACACACGGAUAACAUACCGAAAGGUAUGCUAAUACGAGAUAAUAUGCUUUUAUCGCAUGGUAGAAGUAUCAAAGCUUUUGCGGUACAGGAUGGACCCGCGUCUGAUUAGCUAGUUGGUAAGGUAACGGCUUACCAAGGCGACGAUCAGUAGCCGACCUGAGAGGGUGAUCGGCCACAUUGGAACUGAGACACGGUCCAAACUCCUACGGGAGGCAGCAGUGGGGAAUAUUGCACAAUGGGCGAAAGCCUGAUGCAGCAACGCCGCGUGAGCGAUGAAGGCCUUCGUGUCGUAAAGUUCUGUCCUCAAGGAAGAUAAUGACGGUACUUGAGGAGGAAGCCCCGGCUAACUACGUG